rnacentral:rRNA from 1 species
UACGUAGGGGGCAAGCGUUGUCCGGAUUUAUUGGGCGUAAAGAGCGUGUAGGCGGCCACACAGGUCAGCUGUGAAAACCCGCGGCUUAACUGCGGGACUGCAGUCGAUACGGGCAGGCUAGAGUUCGGUAGGGGAGACUGGAAUUCCUGGUGUAGCGGUGAAAUGCGCAGAUAUCAGGAGGAACACCGGUGGCGAAGGCGGGUCUCUGGGCCGACACUGACGCUGAGGAGCGAAAGCGUGGGGAGCGAACAGG